AGCGAGUCGCCGCUCAAUUACCGUGACAUAGUCGUACGGUGAAUGUUGUGUAUGGAGUCCAAUGUUAACUGUAAGACUGUGUCUCGGUGGUUGUUAGCUAAUCAAC
rnacentral:pre_miRNA from 1 species